rnacentral:lncRNA from 1 species
AGGGAAGAAGAACUGUGAGGAGCUGCUUUCCUGCAGCGAGCUGUGACCUCCCCUUCCUUCCGCAUCUCCUCCUUGUGCCUUCCCACCCUGGCAUCCACCCCAGCCCUGCUGCACCCCCACCUCCCAGGAACACCCCAAAAUCCACACCCAGGGGGCUGGGGAUGGGUUCAAGCCCCUGCUCCAGGUUCAGGGCGCUGUCACUGCACUCCAGAGCUGCUUUGUGCUGGUGCCCUGAGCACUGGCUCCUUCUGCCCGUUUUUGGGCAUUUUGUGACACCCUCCCACCCAGACACCUUUUUUUGGUGGUUUUAUUUCCAAAUGUCUGAUUGCUCUGACUGCCACAUAAACCCAGAGAUCAGGGAAGCUCCUGGGGCUGAUCCCACAGCCCCCUGCCAGUUUGUAGGGGACAGCUCUUGCUCCAGAGGGACCCAUCAUCAACAAAAACCAGUCCUGAGGGUGCUGCAGGGCUGGCCCAGAGCAUCUCCUGCUCCUCCUGGCUGCAGGAGGGGCUGUGGCAGUGUGGGGUGGAUCCCGAUCCUCCCUCGGGCAGCACCGGCUGCCUCUGCCUCGGCAGCUCUGGCUGAUGCAAUUUUUGCCAUUACAGAUCAAACUGCUCCGCCUCGGGUGGCAGACUCCCCCGGGGCAGGCAGGAGGGGUUGUUGUGUUCCUGUUGCUUUGCAGCAGCCUACGGGGAUCCCGCUGCCUCCCCAGGGUGGCUGCCUGCUUCCCCUCCUCCUCCUCCUCUCCUCCUCCUCCUCGUCCUCGGGCUGUCUGUACUGGCUGAGCCCUUCCCAGAGCCGAGCUUGGGGGGCAGAUCCUGCACCAGAAUUGCCCCAUUGGCUCCUUGUUGCCCCUGGUGCUGGUUUGUGCCAGAAUUCCCUCAUCCCUCUGCCUGCUCAUGGGGAGCAUCCCUGGAUCCUGCCAGUGGCUGUGCCUGUGGCUUUCCUGCCACCCCGUGUGAUCAAACAGCCUCAGAGCAUGAGGACACCCUGCCCAGGGGAUGGAGCGUCCCUGGGGGCAGAGUUUGGGAUGCUGGGAAAAAUCUCGAGGCAUCCCUGGUGCUUCCAGCCCUGGGAGGGAGCAGGAGAGGCUGUGAUGGAGCUGGAGGUGGCACAGGGGUACAGAAAUCCCUGAGAGGGAAAAGCAGAGUUUGGGAUGGAGCUGAAGGUGGCACAGGGGAUGCAGAGGCUGUGAUGGAGCUGGAGGUGGCAGGAGGAUGCAGAAAUCNNNNNNNNNNNNNNNNNNNNNNNNNNNNNNNNNNNNNNNNNNNNNNNNN